rnacentral:rRNA from 1 species
UACGUAGGGGGCGAGCGUUGUCCGGAUUCAUUGGGCGUAAAGAGCUCGUAGGCGGCUUGGCAAGUCAGGUGUGAAAUCUCUGGGCUCAACUCAGAGAGGCCACCUGAUACUGCUAUGGCUAGAGUCCGGUAGGGGACCAUGGAAUUCCUGGUGUAGCGGUGAAAUGCGCAGAUAUCAGGAGGAACACCGGUGGCGAAGGCGGUGGUCUGGGCCGGUACUGACGCUGAGGAGCGAAAGCGUGGGGAGCGAACAGGAUUAGAAACCCCCGUAGUCC